rnacentral:rRNA from 1 species
UACGUAGGGUGCAAGCGUUGUCCGGAAUUAUUGGGCGUAAAGAGCUCGUAGGCGGUUUUGUCGCGUCUGCUGUGAAAACCUAAGGCUCAACCUUGGGCUUGCAGUGGGUACGGGCAGACUAGAGUGCGGUAGGGGUGACUGGAAUUCCUGGUGUAGCGGUGGAAUGCGCAGAUAUCAGGAGGAACACCGAUGGCGAAGGCAGGUCACUGGGCCGCAAACUGACGCUGGAGGAGCGAAAAGCAUGGGAGCGAACAGG